AUUGAACGCUGGCGGCAUGCCUUACACAUGCAAGUCGAACGGUAACAGGUUAAGCUGACGCGUGGCGAACGGGUGAGUAAUACAUCGGAACGUGCCCAGUAGUGGGGGAUAGCCCGGCGAAAGCCGGAUUAAUACCGCAUACGACCUAAGGGUGAAAGGGGGGGCUCGCAAGACCUCUCGCUAUUGGAGCGGCCGAUGUCAGAUUAGCUAGUUGGUGGGGUAAAAGCUCACCAAGGCGACGAUCUGUAGCUGGUCUGAGAGGACGACCAGCCACACUGGAACUGAGACACGGCCCAGACUCCUACGGGAGGCAGCAGUGGGGAAUUUUGGACAAUGGGCGCAAGCCUGAUCCAGCCAUGCCGCGUGCGGGAAGAAGGCCUUCGGGUUGUAAACCGCUUUUGUCAGGGAAGAAAUCCUUUGGGUUAAUACCUCGGGGGGAUGACGGUACCUGAAGAAUAAGCACCGGCUAACUACGUG
rnacentral:rRNA from 1 species